rnacentral:lncRNA from 1 species
CUUGUGAGCAUGCUCACUGAAGCAGGGGGGUGCAGUACAGAACAUUCCUGAAGCAGAGGGGCAGAGCUUAACAGAACCUUCUCAUGCGGGGACAGAGCUUAACAGAGCAUUUCUGAAAGAUCACACAGUUCAAACAGUCACAAACCAUUUUGAUACAUUGGGCGGGAGCCCAGCAACCCAAACUUACAUUUCCAAAACAACAUUCUGUGGGAAAAAAAUGGAGGCAAGGCAAGGGCCUAUCUUAUUGUGUAGCACUUCUCUAUCACCACCUGCCUCACAAGUGCAAGCUCCUCAGUUUGAUCCCUAGUACCAAAAAAAAAAAAAAAAAGACUUAAGAUCCUGGCUUCAAUCCCCAGUACUGGGGAAAAAAAGGAAAAGAAAAAGAAAACAAAAGAAUUGAGCUGAACAACACUAUACACCACCCAGCUCUAACAGAUAUCAAUAGAACCCUGGACCCAGCAACCACAGAAUACACAUUUUUCUCAAGCUCACAUGGAAAUAUUCUCCAGGGAAGAUCUUAUGGAUCGAAUUCAGGACCUUGCACUCUCCCAGGCGCAGGCACCACUGAGCUAAAUCCCGGGCCCCCAUAGUAAGUUUUUAAAACUUACAUUUACUAUAUUUUUCCAUCACACCUCAUAGAAAGUAUUGGUAAUCAGAUGACCUAGGACUUCCCAACUGCAGCACUGACAUCUAAAAGACAAGAGAGCAAUGCCUUCAAAAUCUGAAGAAACUCCACUCCGCCCAAAGGAACCCAAACAAGGGCUCCAAAAGAUGGCUGCACAGUUCACCGCAAAGGUCACUCACAAAAGCCAAAAGAGCCAAGGAUGGAGCUCAGCAGCACUGCACCUGUCUGGCAAGCACAAGGUCCUGAAUUCAAUCCCCAGUACUGAAAACAAAACAAAACAAAACAAACUUCUAUCCAUGAACUUGUGAUUUAAAAAAAAGAAAUUGGUGCUAGUUUUGCUGUCA